CGGGAAGCGGGCCCCCGCUCCAGCUGCCCGGAAGGCUGACCGUGCUUCAUGUCGUCGAGCAGAGCAGAGCCCCUGUCCUUGGCUGACUUCAGCGGCCAGUCGUCGAUAGUGGAACAGCCUGACUUACGGCCUGCUGAAUAUGCAUUGUACAUCUGCUUCAAACAUUCUCCCGAAGCAAAGAAUACACAAUUUAAAGACAGGGUUGAAUGUCCUCCUUUCUCUGAUGCCAAUACCAAUACUUCUUUGAAGAUGAGCUUUUCUUCCCUGAGAACCAAGAAUCACCCUGUAAUUCACCCAGAACAGAAGUUCUCUGUUUAUUCACCCAUGCCCCAAAGAUUUAUUCCACACCCACAGCGAGCAAGAUGCAGUUCUAGCCACUGGCACACUAAGAUUUGGUGUUCACCAGAGAAAGUCCUUGGAAUCACAGUCUUGUUGGGGGCACAGACCAUAAACAAGAAGCCCAAAUAUGUGUCAUGCAGAGAAACAUGCUCCGAAGAAAAAUAAAGCAAUAAAUAAAGGGGCGAGUGAUGGGGGUGUUAUUGUGGAGAAUGUAGUCAAAGAUGUCCCCCC